GUAAAGCACUUUCAGUAGGGAGGAAGGUAGUGUAGUUAACACCUGCAUUAUUUGACGUUACCUACAGAAGAAGCACCGGCUAACUCCGUGCCAGCAGCCGCGGUAAUACGGAGGGUGCGAGCGUUAAUCGGAAUUACUGGGCGUAAAGCGCAUGCAGGCGGCUUGUUAAGUCAGAUGUGAAAGACCCGGGGCGUUAACCUCGGAAUUGCAUUUGAAACUAGGCAGGCUAGAGUCUUGUAGAGGGGGGUAGGAAUUUCAGGUGUAGCGGUGAAAUAGCGUAGAGAUCUGAAGGAAUACCAGUGGCGAAGGCGGCCCCCUCGGACAAAGACUGACGCUCAGAUGCGAAAGCGUGGGGAGCAAACAGGAUUAGAUACCCUGGUAG
rnacentral:rRNA from 1 species